rnacentral:rRNA from 1 species
AUACGUAGGGGGCAAGCGUUACUCGGAUUUAUUGGGCGUAAAGCGAAUGUAGGCGGUUUUGCAAGUCAGUGGUGAAAUCCCUCAGCUUAACUGAGGAAGUGCCUUUGAAACUGCAUAACUAGAGGACAGGAGAGGAAAGUGGAAUUCCCGGUGUAGCGGUGGAAUGCGUAGAUAUCGGGAGGAACACCAGAGGCGAAGGCGGCUUUCUGGACUGAUCCUGACGCUGAGAUUCGAAAGCUAGGGGAGCAAACAGGAUUAGAUACCCUGGUAGUCCUAGCUGUAAACGAUGGAUACUAGAUCUUGCAUAUUUUGCUUGGUCGAAGUUAACGCGUUAAGUAUCCCGCCUGGGGAGUACGGUCGCAAGGCUGAA